AAGAUGACUUAUCGUGGCUCUCUGAGAUACAGCCUUCAAGACACCAUACAGAUUCAGGAUGAUGGCACCUUUCAUAAGGACUGCAAUAAUCCUUCUGUUCCUGAUGAUGCAUGAACUACAGUCCCAAUGACAGUCACAUUAUAGUGGGCUAUGGAGGAGCAGUUUGGAUUGACUACAUGAAAGUCCUCAGGUAACUGCAGUCCCAAUGACUUACAGUGCACAGAUGAGCUCAUUGAUUCAUAAACUAUUGCAACUGUGCCUUGUACUUCCUAGAAGCUUGCUGCUCAUAGUUUUAAGGAAAAACCUUUGCUGAGUUUUUCAGCAAAGAUAUAGUUGUUGAUGCUUUACUUUGGUUCAGCGUUAUGAACACAAAUUGCUCACCAAUUCAACACAUUAGUGUGGAAGAAUUGCACCUUUGGCCUCCACAGUUUCGGGAAAGGGCCUCUGCCACAGGAGGGAUGGAUAGCAAGGGGGUGUCCCUGCAUGAUGCCUCCAGCCACCCCCACCCCACCCCACAGCCUCUGGGACAUUCCCGCAGCCGCUAUCCAGUGAAAUCCCACGCCGGCAGGGUGACUCACAUCAGAAGACAUUCCAGAAAGAAGAAUAAUUAUGCCAUUGCUGGAAUUGAUGUAAUGGUGUUUUUCAGCAUGCUUUAAUAGACAUGAGUGAUGUUUUGGCAGGCAAUUGAAAUAACCCUAGAUAUCUGAUUGCAUUAGUGACUGCUACCAAGGGCAUCUCUGGAGAGAGGGACAUUACUUAAGGUACUUCCUCUGUAUUGUAACUUGCUGGGGCUAACUUUCAGUGUAGCAUAGGAUUCUUUUCUGAAGACAGACAUAUUGGAGAGCUUAACCACGACAUAUAACAAACUGAACUCUAAACAUAUACAGAUUCCAAGAGACAGGCCUGUGUAAACAACAUCAUAAUUCCCUGGGUUAUGUGCUGUUUAAAAUAACAUUCAGCUAUGCAUUCACCUCAAAAGAUUGCCACUUAGCAGCGUUGUUUCUUUUUGUAAUCUUUAUUGUUUAGGUUUAUUAUGGCUUUCAUUUUUUUCCCCUGGAAAACAUAAACAAUUCCCCUUUUUCUGUGCCGGCUCAUAGCCCUGUGAUGCCCAUGCCAUAGCCAGCUGGGAGGGUAACGAAUGAGGGCUCGAUUGAGUCCAGGAGCCCCUCUUUCACCCAAAAGCAAGACUUUUUUCUCUCUGACCAUCCGUGUUUUAACACCAUGCUCCUUAGAAUGGGCCUUCUUCUUAUUAAGGCUUGCUACCGGCAUUUAUUGGUUGAAGUUGUGCUCUCGUUUAACACCCACACAGUCCCACUGAAGGCUUGUUGCCUUCACUUAGGCUAUAUGUU
ensembl:lncRNA